AGUGAACGCUGGCGGUAGGCCUAACACAUGCAAGUCGAACGGCAGCACAGUAAGAGCUUGCUCUUACGGGUGGCGAGUGGCGGACGGGUGAGGAAUACAUCGGAAUCUACUUUUUCGCGGGGGAUAACGUAGGGAAACUUACGCUAAUACCGCAUACGACCUACGGGUGAAAGCAGGGGAUCUUCGGACCUUGCGCGAUUGAAUGAGCCGAUGUCGGAUUAGCUAGUUGGCGGGGUAAAGGCCCACCAAGGCGACGAUCCGUAGCUGGUCUGAGAGGAUGAUCAGCCACACUGGAACUGAGACACGGUCCAGACUCCUACGGGAGGCAGCAGUGGGGAAUAUUUGACAAUGGGCGCAAGCCUGAUCCAGCCAUACCGCGUGGGUGAAGAAGGCCUUCGGGUUGUAAAGCCCUUUUGUUGGGAAAGAAAAGCAGCAGGUUAAUACCCCGCUGUUCUGACGGUACCCAAAGAAUAAGCACCGGCUAACUUCGUG
rnacentral:rRNA from 1 species